rnacentral:misc_RNA from 1 species
UUCCGUAGGUGACCUGUGGAGGAUCAUUGUCGAGGCCCGUCGAGCAGCGAGACCUAUGAACCAAUGACCCUGACGAGGCGCGCAUGGCUCGGGGGGCACGGCGCCGCCCGCUCUCCCGGGGGACCACGCGGCGAACCUCCCCCAGUGCGAUGAGCAAUAAGAAACUGAGAUGGAAUGAGCGCGGCUCCCUCCGGGGACGCUGGCGCACGUUCAAAACUUACACGACUCUCGGCAAUGAAUAUCUUGGCUCUCGCAUCGAUGAAAAACGUAGCGAAAUGCAAUACUUGGUGUGAAUUGCAGAAUCCCGUGAACCAUUAAGUCUUUGAACACAAGUUGCGCCCAAGGCCACCUGGUAGAGGGCACUCCUGCUUGGGCGUCACGUACCGUGCUGCCCCACCCGGCGCUUGCCCCAUUUGGUAGCGGCGCCGCAGGGCGGAGACUGGCCGCCUAUUCGCCCCGCGCGCACGGACUC